rnacentral:rRNA from 1 species
UACGAAGGGGGCUAGCGUUGCUCGGAAUCACUGGGCGUAAAGGGUGCGUAGGCGGGUUUUUAAGUCAGGGGUGAAAUCCUGGAGCUCAACUCCAGAACUGCCUUUGAUACUGAAGAUCUUGAGUCCGGGAGAGGUGAGUGGAACUGCGAGUGUAGAGGUGAAAUUCGUAGAUAUUCGCAAGAACACCAGUGGCGAAGGCGGCUCACUGGCCCGGUACUGACGCUGAGGCACGAAAGCGUGGGGAGCAACAGG